rnacentral:rRNA from 1 species
UAUGAGUUAGUGGCGGACGGGUGAGUAACGCGUGGAAAACCUGCCGUAUACUGGGGGAUAACACUUAGAAAUAGGUGCUAAUACCGCAUAAGCGCACAGGGCCGCAUGGCCCGGUGUGAAAAACUCCGGUGGUGUAAGAUGGACCCGCGUCUGAUUAGCUUGUUGGCGGGGUAGGGGCCCACCAAGGCGACGAUCAGUAGCCGGCCUGAGAGGGUGGACGGCCACAUUGGGACUGAGACACGGCCCAAACUCCUACGGAAGGCAGCAG